AUGCAGGUAAAGUUACAAUGUAGCUGUGAAGUGCUGUGUUGUCGUUCCCCCUGCAUAAAACAAAAUUGUCUCUAUUCUAUCUUUGUCUGUUUUGAUUUUGUAGCAGACAAAGACGCUUGGUUUCAUACAU
rnacentral:snoRNA from 1 species